rnacentral:snRNA from 10 species
AUAUGGAUAAAGGGUGAUCAUUAAGGCCCAUGGCGUAGGUUGCUGACCUCCAUUGCACUUUGGAGGGAAUCGGCUCAAGUGGUCGAGCCUAUGUCAUAAUUUGUGGUAGAGGGAAUCUGUGUUUUCGCGCGUCCCCA